CAGUGUGCCCUUUAAAAAUUAACUGGUUUGCUGAAGAUGGGACUAAAGCCAAACAAAUGCAAAUUCCAGGAAGGUUUCUGUUCUAAAGAUCUGGAAAUCAAAACUUCAGCUGCUCAGUUCUCAUGUUGUACAAUUUAUUUCAUGUACCUGACUGCUUUCCUUCAGGUCUUUGGUUGUUGCUCUCUAUGUUCGUACCACUCUUGGCUUCUCUAAUUCACUGAUACUCCUUUUAUACGGCAGAAGGAUUCCUUGCUGGAUCUCUAAAUCUUCCCUGCACCCCGUGAGUGGGCUGUGGCUACUAAUGACUGGAGGACUCAACUGGAUGCACAGACUGAAAGAUGGCAGGAAGCAAACUUCUUUUGUCACUGGAAGUUCUCAAGCCAUUGGGAGACUAUGCAGCUAGAGACAGAUAAUGUGUUGUACAUCUCUUUCACCCGACGGUAGCGGAAUGCUAAUUUCCUCAUCCAGUCUACUCCCCCAUGAACGCCUGAGCCCAGACACAGAUUUGCACUGGCAGUUGAACUGUGAAAGCCAUCUGCGGAGAAGUUAUACGUGCUGGGAAAGGGAGGAGGGAAGGGGAGAGCUGGGGACUACCUGACCUGCAGUUUCCAGCCUGGAGAUCCCGUACCUGAGAUCUUGACCGUUAUCAUCUGAUGAUACAUCAUCUAUGUGGAUCUGGUCACAGUCCUGAGAAGUGUAUAAAAAAAAAUCCAGCAAGGUAAAAGCACUUGGUACAACAGGACUCUGAAGUCAGAAAAACCGCCGCCAACCAAGGUCAGCCUGUGCUACAGAACCUGCAUCCAGGUGGGAUCAGACCCUUGUACACCCAUGUAAAGGAGCCAGAGCUCAUGCAGCUUUGAAAUGGUACUGCAGGUUCAGAGAAAGCCUCUGCUGUACGGUGAAAUACAAGCUGUUCCUGAGGACACAUAGAGAAGCUCCUUCUGUUAUCGUUUAUGGUCCUGUC